rnacentral:rRNA from 1 species
UACGUAGGGUGCGAGCGUUGUCCGGAAUUAUUGGGCGUAAAGAGCUUGUAGGCGGUUUGUCGCGUCUGCUGUGAAAAUCCGGGGCUCAACCCCGGACUUGCAGUGGGUACGGGCAGACUGGAGUGUGGUAGGGGAGACUGGAAUUCCUGGUGUAGCGGUGGAAUGCGCAGAUAUCAGGAGGAACACCGAUGGCGAAGGCAGGUCUCUGGGCCACUACUGACGCUGAGGUGCGAAAGCUAGGGGAGCGAACAGG